UACGUAGGUGGCAAGCGUUGUCCGGAAUUACUGGGCGUAAAGGGCUCGUAGGUGGCCAACUAAGUCAGACGUGAAAUCCCUCGGCUUAACCGGGGAACUGCGUCUGAUACUGGAUGGCUUGAGUUUGGGAGAGGGACGCGGAAUUCCAGGUGUAGCGGUGAAAUGCGUAGAUAUCUGGAGGAACACCGGUGGCGAAGGCGGCGUCCUGGACCAACACUGACACUGAGGAGCGAAAGCCAGGGGAGCAAACGGG
rnacentral:rRNA from 1 species